UCUGAUAGGAAUAUAUUUCAGGAUAACCUUUCUGAGAACAUUUUAAAAGUAGGAUUCAAGAGCACACACAAAUGAUGGAAUCCUGUGUAGUUGAUAUGAUUUAAUCUAUGUUGAUUGAUUUGGAAAGACGUAUAUGGCAAAUUGUGGAGUAAAAAAAGUACACACUAGAUACUGGCCUAUAUGGAAUGGUCCCAUUUAUGUAAAAUUGUGUAUGUGCAUGCACAGAUCUGUCUUCUAUCAGGGUAUCUGGAAAAUGUUCAACAAAAUAGUAACAAUGGUUAUCUGUUUUGUUUUGUUUUUUCAGAGACAGGGUCUUGCUCUAUUGCCCAGGCUGGAGUACAGUGGUGCAAUCAUAGCUCACUGUAGCCUCUAACUCCUGGGCUCAUGCCACACAAUCCUCCUGCCUCAGCCUCCUGAGUAGCUGGGACUACAGGAGAGCUGUCCCUGCAAGCUGAACUAACAGAAGAUGAAGAAUGAGGUCUCCCUGAAAUGCCCACCAUAAGACUGCCAGAUAUGGGACUGCUGGAUGACACUCUGGCUACCCCACUGAGUUUUAUGAAAACAUAACAGAAUAAAGACACUUACUUGUCAACUCAGUUACAAGCUAUUGAGGCACUCCAGAGUGACGGCAUGUGAUCCCCCUGACA
rnacentral:lncRNA from 10 species